GAUGAACGCUAGCGACAGGCCUAACACAUGCAAGUCGAGGGGCAUCGGGACGUAGCAAUACGUUGCCGGCGACCGGCGGAUGGGUGAGUAACGCGUAUGCAACCUACCCGUAGCAGGGGGAUAGCCCGUUGAAAGACGGAUUAAUACCCCGUAACACAGGGGCUCCGCAUGGAGAUUAUUGUUAAAGGGUCAUUUCUUUUAGAGGUGGUCCGGCUGCGGAUGGGCAUGCGUUCCAUUAGGUAGUUGGUGUAGGUAACAGCUCACCAAGCCGACGAUGGAUAGGGGAACUGAGAGGUUGGUCCCCCACACUGGUACUGAGACACGGACCAGACUCCUACGGGAGGCAGCAGUGAGGAAUCUUGGUCAAUGGACGCAAGUCUGAACCAGCCAUGUCGCGUGAAGGAGGACGGCCCUAAGGGUUGUAAACUUCUUUUGCAGUGGAAUAAAGUUUGCCACGAGUUGGCGAUUUGCAAGUACGCUGCGAAUAAGGAUCGGCUAACUCCGUGCC
rnacentral:rRNA from 1 species